GAUGAAGAACGCAGCGAAAUGCGAUAAGUAGUGUGAAUUGCAGAAUUCAGUGAAUCAUCGAAUCUUUGAACGCACAUUUCGCCCCUUGGUAUCCCGAGGGGCAUGCCUGUUCGAGCGUCAUUUCACCACUCAAGCCUGGCUUGGUGUUGGGCGACGUCCCCUUUGGGGACGCGCCUUGAAACGCUCGGCGGCGUGGCACCGGCUUUAAGCGUAGCAGAAUCUUUCGCUUUGGAAGUCGGGGCCCCGUCUGCCGGAAGACCUACUCACAAGGUUGACCUCGGAUCAGGCAGGGAUACCCGCUGAACUUAAGCAUAUCAAUAAGCGGAGGA
rnacentral:misc_RNA from 1 species